AAAAAUAUAUAAAUUGAAUAAAUUUAAAAUAAAUAUGAAUUAGUAAAUUUUUAAAAAGUUCAAAUACCUAAUAGUAAUUUGCUUUAAAAGAAUAAACUUACCGUACCUUUCAUGUGCAGUAAGCUAAUUUUUUUUAUUAAUUAAAUUUAUAUUACCGCAUCUUACAAAUGAUUCACCCUGCUUUGGAAAAAAGUUUUUUCCAAACUCGAGGAGGAAAAUAUAGGCAAAAGGUUCGGUAAAUUUGUUUUUUUCUAGAAUUUCAUAAACGAGCUAUGAUGACGAAGUUAAAACAUUCUGGAAUCUUGUUCAUCUUUAAUGAUAUGAUUAUAUAAUUAUUUUUUCUUACCUCAGCAGUUUUCUGGGUGGCUGCUUGAGAUUUUGCUUCUAGUUCAGCUUUCCUGCCAGGAGAAUGGGAUGAUGUUGAAGAAAUUGAGGAACCUGUUUGUAAGCCAAGAAUCUGAGGAGGAUCUACCAUUAGAAAGAGA